GGUCAAGUGAAGAAGCGCAUACGGUGGAUGCCUUGGCAGUCAGAGGCGAUGAAAGACGUGGUAGCCUGCGAAAAGCUUCGGGGAGUCGGCAAACAGACUUUGAUCCGGAGAUGUCUGAAUGGGGGAACCCAGCCAUCAUAAGAUGGUUAUCUUGUACUGAAUACAUAGGUGCAAGAGGCGAACCAGGGGAACUGAAACAUCUAAGUACCCUGAGGAAAAGAAAUCAACCGAGAUUCCCUUAGUAGUGGCGAGCGAACGGGGACUAGCCCUUAAGUGGCUUUGAGAUUAGCGGAACGCUCUGGAAAGUGCGGCCAUAGUGGGUGAUAGCCCUGUACGCGAAAAUCUCUUAGUCAUGAAAUCGAGUAGGACGGAGCACGAGAAACUUUGUCUGAAUAUGGGGGGACCAUCCUCCAAGGCUAAAUACUACUGACUGACCGAUAGUGAACUAGUACCGUGAGGGAAAGGCGAAAAGAACCCCGGAGAGGGGAGUGAAAUAGAUCCUGAAACCGUAUGCGUACAAGCAGUGGGAGCAGACUUUGUUCUGUGACUGCGUACCUUUUGUAUAAUGGGUCAGCGACUUAUUUUCAGUGGCGAGCUUAACCGAAUAGGGGAGGCGUAGCGAAAGCGAGUCUUAAUAGGGCGUCUAGUCGCUGGGAAUAGACCCGAAACCGGGCGAUCUAUCCAUGGGCAGGUUGAAGGUUAGGUAACACUGACUGGAGGACCGAACCGACUACCGUUGAAAAGUUAGCGGAUGACCUGUGGAUCGGAGUGAAAGGCUAAUCAAGCUCGGAGAUAGCUGGUUCUCCUCGAAAGCUAUUUAGGUAGCGCCUCAUGUAUCACUGUAGGGGGUAGAGCACUGUUUCGGCUAGGGGGUCAUCCCGACUUACCAAACCGAUGCAAACUCCGAAUACCUACAAGUGCCGAGCAUGGGAGACACACGGCGGGUGCUAACGUCCGUCGUGAAAAGGGAAACAACCCAGACCGUCAGCUAAGGUCCCAAAGUUAUGGUUAAGUGGGAAACGAUGUGGGAAGGCUUAGACAGCUAGGAGGUUGGCUUAGAAGCAGCCACCCUUUAAAGAAAGCGUAAUAGCUCACUAGUCGAGUCGGCCUGCGCGGAAGAUGUAACGGGGCUCAAACCAUACACCGAAGCUACGGGUAUCACGUAAGUGAUGCGGUAGAGGAGCGUUCUGUAAGCCUGUGAAGGUGAGUUGAGAAGCUUGCUGGAGGUAUCAGAAGUGCGAAUGCUGACAUGAGUAACGACAAUGGGUGUGAAAAACACCCACGCCGAAAGACCAAGGUUUCCUGCGCAACGUUAAUCGACGCAGGGUUAGUCGGUCCCUAAGGCGAGGCUGAAAAGCGUAGUCGAUGGAAAACAGGUUAAUAUUCCUGUACUUCUGGUUAUUGCGAUGGAGGGACGGAGAAGGCUAGGCCAGCUUGGCGUUGGUUGUCCAAGUUUAAGGUGGUAGGCUGGAAUCUUAGGUAAAUCCGGGAUUCCAAGGCCGAGAGCUGAUGACGAGUUGCCUUUAGGCGACGAAGUGGUUGAUGCCAUGCUUCCAAGAAAAGCUUCUAAGCUUCAGAUAACCAGGAACCGUACCCCAAACCGACACAGGUGGUUGGGUAGAGAAUACCAAGGCGCUUGAGAGAACUCGGGUGAAGGAACUAGGCAAAAUGGCACCGUAACUUCGGGAGAAGGUGCGCCGGUGAGGGUGAAGUACUUGCUACGUAAGCCCACGCCGGUCGAAGAUACCAGGCCGCUGCGACUGUUUAUUAAAAACACAGCACUCUGCAAACACGAAAGUGGACGUAUAGGGUGUGACGCCUGCCCGGUGCCGGAAGGUUAAUUGAUGGGGUUAGCUAACGCGAAGCUCUUGAUCGAAGCCCCGGUAAACGGCGGCCGUAACUAUAACGGUCCUAAGGUAGCGAAAUUCCUUGUCGGGUAAGUUCCGACCUGCACGAAUGGCGUAACGAUGGCGGCGCUGUCUCCACCCGAGACUCAGUGAAAUUGAAAUCGCUGUGAAGAUGCAGUGUAUCCGCGGCUAGACGGAAAGACCCCGUGAACCUUUACUAUAGCUUUGCACUGGACUUUGAAUUUGCUUGUGUAGGAUAGGUGGGAGGCUUUGAAGCGUGGACGCCAGUUCGCGUGGAGCCAUCCUUGAAAUACCACCCUGGCAACUUUGAGGUUCUAACUCAGGUCCGUUAUCCGGAUCGAGGACAGUGUAUGGUGGGUAGUUUGACUGGGGCGGUCUCCUCCUAAAGAGUAACGGAGGAGUACGAAGGUGCGCUCAGACCGGUCGGAAAUCGGUCGUAGAGUAUAAAGGCAAAAGCGCGCUUGACUGCGAGACAGACACGUCGAGCAGGUACGAAAGUAGGUCUUAGUGAUCCGGUGGUUCUGUAUGGAAGGGCCAUCGCUCAACGGAUAAAAGGUACUCCGGGGAUAACAGGCUGAUACCGCCCAAGAGUUCAUAUCGACGGCGGUGUUUGGCACCUCGAUGUCGGCUCAUCACAUCCUGGGGCUGAAGCCGGUCCCAAGGGUAUGGCUGUUCGCCAUUUAAAGUGGUACGCGAGCUGGGUUUAGAACGUCGUGAGACAGUUCGGUCCCUAUCUGCCGUGGACGUUUGAGAUUUGAGAGGGGCUGCUCCUAGUACGAGAGGACCGGAGUGGACGAACCUCUGGUGUUCCGGUUGUCACGCCAGUGGCAUUGCCGGGUAGCUAUGUUCGGGAAAGAUAACCGCUGAAAGCAUCUAAGCGGGAAACUUGCCUCAAGAUGAGAUCUCACUGGAACCUUGAGUUCCCUGAAGGGCCGUCGAAGACUACGACGUUGAUAGGUUGGGUGUGUAAGCGCUGUGAGGCGUUGAGCUAACCAAUACUAAUUGCCCGUGAGGCUUGACCAU
rnacentral:rRNA from 1 species